CAGUCUGGUGGGAAACUGUGCUCUUCAGUCUGGUGCAUAACUGUGCGACGCGCACAGUUAUGCACCAGACUGAAGAGCACAGUUUCCCACCAGACUGA
rnacentral:miRNA from 1 species